CCUGAGUCUGAGCCAGUGCCAGUUGCACAGGCUGAGGGGGAUCUGGAGAGCAGCGUGGAGGUCAUGGUGGAGAGCAUAGAAACAGCUCCCAAAAACGAGAGAGGAUGGCUACAGCGCUGCCUGAGACUCUGGAGGAGCACAGCCUCUACCUUACUUUCCUGCUGUCCUUACAGGGACAGCUUGAGUUUCCCUGGAACUUGACUGGAGCUGCUUAUUCACCAUCUGGACUAUCCUGCACUGGAACCUUCCAUCAAGUUUUCUGCUCAAGUUCAGGGAGGUUAACUACAGUGCUAUGGGUUGGAAACUUCUUGAUUAUGUGGUGCAAUGUGGGAAAGGAGCAUCAAGAUCUUUAAAGAUGGACUUGUAACUGUAAGAUUGUUGAUAAUUCUCCAUAAAUAAAGUCCUUGAACAGUUA